CUAUGGAUAGUAUAUUUUGGAGGUACGCAAAGUUUUGGGUUUUGUAGUGCAGGUUCGUUACCUUGCUCCGUAGG
rnacentral:tRNA from 1 species